rnacentral:lncRNA from 1 species
CUCCUCCUCCUCCUCCUCCUUCUUCUUCUUCUUCUUCUUCUUCUUCUUCUUCUUCUUCUUCUUCUUCUUUCUUCUUCUUCUUCUUCUUCUUCUUUUCUUCUUUCUUUCUGAGACGGGUCUCUCUAUGUAGUUCGGGCCGCCACUGACACAGAGAGCAAAGCCCCAGGGGUUUGCUGAAGGUCGGGAGGCUAGACCCUCACUGCUGGGUGGACCCUGCACCCCUGGGCCCCCGGAUGAAGUCCACUGCAGGGUUUCAGCCAAAGAAACCAGGACCCUUCCCUGCUGUCACCACCUGGAUUUCCCACAGCACGGAGCGGCUGCACACACGGAACACACACGCGUUACCUGACAGGACCAAGUCAUCUGCUGAGGCUCAACCAGCGUCACCAGCCCACGGCCUCCAGCCCUGUCCUGUGGCACAGAGCAGGAAGCCGUGUGCCCUCUCCGCCUCGGGGAACCCCAGCCUGGCGGGCGCCGGGCUGCCCGGGGGAGCUGCGCACUCAAGCUCUUGGACUUGUGUACACGGCUCUGCUGCUUCAGUGCUGUUCUCCUCUCUGUCUACCCGGAGGGUGAGGUCGCGUCUGACCUCUCAGGUAUCAGAGUGCUCACUGCAGAGCUCUGGGUGGCUCCUCACGGCACUUAGGGGAGGGAGCCGGGAAGGGGUGGUGCCCCCUCCCAAGCCUGUGGUGUGGUCUCUGAUCUGCAGUGGACUGACAGGCCUGAUGCAGUCAUGUGCUGGGGCUGCGGGAACGAAGGACCACAGACUGGGCGACGGAAAUGUUUCUCUUCUCAGUUCCAGGGGAGUCACCGGAGUCACUGGUCAAAGGAGUAGAGAGUUGCCUCCCCUUACCUUGUCUCCCUUGUCACCUCCCCGUGUCCCAGCGUCGUCCUUUCAGCCAGUCUCUGGCCUAAACCCCUCUCCCCAUAAGGACACCAGUCAUACUGGUAAGUCUUCGCUUAUACAGCUUUUGUGCUAG